rnacentral:rRNA from 1 species
GGGGGUGACAGCGUACCUUUUGUAGAAUGGACCGGCGAGUGACGAUUCUAAGCAAGGUUAAGCUGAAGAGGCGGAGCCGCAGCGAAAGCGAGUCUGAAUAGGGCGUUUGAGUUUAGGGUUGUCGACCCGAAACCGUGUGAUCUACCCAUGUCCAGGGUGAAGUUCAGGUAACACUGAAUGGAGGCCCGAACCCACGCAUGUUGAAAAAUGCGGGGAUGAGGUGUG